GUUUCCGUAGCGUAGCGGUUAUGACAUUCGCCUCCAACGUGAAAGGUCCCCAGUUCAAAACCGGGCGGAAACA